UGGUGGGGUGACUUGUCUGCUUAAUUGCGAUAACGAACGAGACCUUAACCUGCUAAAUAGCCCGCAUUGAUCCGGCAGUGCGCUGGCUUCUUAGAGGGACUUUCGGCUCAAGCCGAAGGAAGUUUGAGGCAAUAACA
rnacentral:rRNA from 1 species